ACUCCUACGGGAGGCAGCAGUGGGGAAUAUUGCACAAUGGGGGAAACCCUGAUGCAGCCAUGCCGCGUGUGUGAAGAAGGCCUUCGGUUGUAAAGCACUUUCUAGUAGGGAGGAAGGUAGUGUAGUUAACACCUGCAUUAUUUGUACGUUACCUACAGAAGAAGCACCGGCUAACUCCGUGCCAGCAGCCGCGGUAAGUACGGAGGGUGCGAGCGUUAAUCGGAAUUACUGGGCGUAAAGCGCAUGCAGGCGGCCUGUUAAGUCAGAUGUGAAAGCCCGGGGCUUAACCUCGGAAUUGCAUUUGAAACUGGCAGGCUAGAGUCUGUAGAGGGGUAGAAUUUCAGGUGUAG
rnacentral:rRNA from 1 species